GACGAACCGAGCGAACGUUGUUCGGAAUCACUGGGCUUAAAGGGCGCGUAGGCGGGUAUUCAAGUCCGUGGCGAAAUCCUCCGGCUCAACCGGAGAACUGCCUCGGAUACUGGAUGUCUCGAGGGUGGCAGGGGUAUGCGGAACUAUCGGUGGAGCGGUGAAAUGCGUUGAUAUCGAUAGGAACUCCGGUGGCGAAGGCGGCAUACUGGUCCACUUCUGACGCUGAGGCGCGAAAGCCAGGGGAGCAAACGGG
rnacentral:rRNA from 1 species